CCGGGGUGAGUAUUACUUCAGGUACUGGUGUGAUUUUUGAAACGGACACCGUCGGACCUUCCGCCGUUUGCUCCUUAGCGACGAUCAGUACUUGUGUUUUACUCUUCCCGU
rfam:Anopheles atroparvus strain EBRO unplaced genomic scaffold supercont1.16, whole genome shotgun sequence.